rnacentral:rRNA from 1 species
GUAGUUAGCCGGUGCUUUCUUGUACGGUACCGUCAUUAUCGUCCCGUACGACAGGAGUUUACAAUCCGAAAACCUUCUUCCUCCACGCGGCGUCGCUGCAUCAGGGUUUCCCCCAUUGUGCAAUAUCCCCCACUGCUGCCUCCCGUAGGAGUCUGGGCCGUGUCUCAGUUCCAGUGUGGCCGAUCAGCCUCUCAGCUCGGCUACCCAUCGCAGGCUUGGUGGGCCGUUACCUCACCAACUACCUAAUGGGACGCGAACCCCUCUUAAAGCGGAUUGCUCCUUUGACCUCAUCCCGAUGCCGGGUCGUGGUCUUAUGCGGUAUUAGCACUUGUUUCCAGGUGUUAUCCCCCUCUUUAAGGCAGGUUGUUCACGCGUUACUCACCCGUUCGCCACUCAGUACAAAACCGAAUUCUGUACUCCGUUCGACUUGCAUGUGUUAGGCACGCCGCCAGCGUUCGUCCUGAGCCAGAAUCGAACCCUGA